CCUACGGGCGGCUGCAGUGGGGAAUAUUGGACAAUGGGGGCAACCCUGAUCCAGCCAUGCCGCGUGUGUGAAGAAGGCCCUCGGGUUGUAAAGCACUUUCAGUGAGGAAGAACGCCUGGUGGUUAAUACCCAUCAGGAAAGACAUCACUCACAGAAGAAGCACCGGCUAACUCCGUGCCAGCAGCCGCGGUAAUACGGAGGGUGCGAGCGUUAAUCGGAAUUACUGGGCGUAAAGCGCGCGUAGGUGGCUUGAUAGCCGGUUGUGAAAGCCCCGGGCUCAACCUGGGAACGGCAUCCGGAACUGUCAAGCUAGAGUGCAGGAGAGGAAGGUAGAAUUCCCGGUGUAGCGGUGAAAUGCGUAGAGAUCGGGAGGAAUACCAGUGGCGAAGGCGGCCUUCUGGACUGACACUGACACUGAGGUGCGAAAGCGUGGGUAGCAAACAGGAUUAGAUACCCGAGUAGUC
rnacentral:rRNA from 1 species